ensembl:misc_RNA Y_RNA Y RNA
AGCUGCUCUGAAGGUAGUGUGUUAUCUCAGUUGAUUGUUCACAGUCAGUUACAGAUCGAACUCCUUGUUCUACUCCUUCCGCUCUUCUCACUAUUGCACUUGAGUAGUCUUAA